CGUACACUCCUACGGGAGGCAGCAAUGGGGAAUAUUGGACAAUGGGCGCAAGCCUGAUCCAGCCAUGCCGCGUGAGUGAUGAAGGCCCUAGGGUUGUAAAGCUCUUUCACCGGUGAAGAUAAUGACGGUAACCGGAGAAGAAGCCCCGGCUAACUUCGUGCCAGCAGCCGCGGUAAUACGAAGGGGGCUAGCGUUGUUCGGAUUUACUGGGCGUAAAGCGCACGUAGGCGGACUAUUAAGUCAGGGGUGAAAUCCCGGGGCUCAACCCCGGAACUGCCUUUGAUACUGGUAGUCUUGAGUUCGAGAGAGGUGAGUGGAAUUCCGAGUGUAGAGGUGAAAUUCGUAGAUAUUCGGAGGAACACCAGUGGCGAAGGCGGCUCACUGGCUCGAUACUGACGCUGAGGUGCGAAAGCGUGGGGAGCAAACAGGAUUAGAAACCCUGGUAGUCCCAUGA
rnacentral:rRNA from 1 species